rnacentral:rRNA from 1 species
UGAGGAACAUGACCUUCGGCGGGGGAUAGCCGGCCCAACGGCCGGGUAAUACCGCGUACGACCACAUGGGGACAUCCCCGAGUGGUGAAAGCAGCAAUGCGCCGAUGGAGUGCCUCGCGGCCUAUCAGCUAGUUGGUGAGGUAACGGCUCACCAAGGCGACGACGGGUAGCUGGUCUGAGAGGAUGGCCAGCCACAUUGGGACUGCGACACGGCCCAGACUCCUAGGGAG